CACGUAGGCGGACCAUUAAGUUGGGGGUGAAAUCCCGGGGCUCAACCCCGGAACUGCCUUCAAAACUGCUGGUCUUGAGGUCGAGAGAGGUGAGUGGAAUUCCGAGUGUAGAGGUGAAAUUCGUAGAUAUUCGGAGGAACACCAGUGGCGAAGGCGGCUCACUGGCUCGAAUCUGACGCUGAGGUGCGAAAGCGUGGGGAGCAAACA
rnacentral:rRNA from 1 species